rnacentral:RNase_P_RNA from 1 species
GUAGUCGACCGGUCUGUCGCUUUGAAAAAACAAAGAGGAAAGUCCGGACAAUACAGAGCACCCUACUAUCUAACGGAUAGCUGUUUGCGAGAGCAGAGUUAAGUAGAAGAAAAGAACCGCCUUAUACAUUAAGGUAAGGGUGAGAAGGUGAGGUAAGAGCUUACCGGUUCUCAUAGCAAUGUGGGAAGCCGUACAACUUAGGGAUUGCAAGAUCAUGUACACCGGCGCAUGUAGAAUGGCUCGUUCGAUGCCGGGGGGUAGAUCGCUUGAAUUGAAUGGUAACAUUCAAUCCAGAUAAAUGACAGACGUCUGAUUUUUCAGAAACAGAAUCCGGCUUACAGGUUGACUGCUUUU